GACGAACGCUGGCGGCGUGCUUAACACAUGCAAGUCGAACGGAAAGGCCCUGCUUUUGUGGGGUGCUCGAGUGGCGAACGGGUGAGUAACACGUGAGUAACCUGCCCUUGACUUUGGGAUAACUUCAGGAAACUGGGGCUAAUACCGGAUAGGAGCUCCUGCUGCAUGGUGGGGGUUGGAAAGUUUCGGCGGUUGGGGAUGGACUCGCGGCUUAUCAGCUUGUUGGUGGGGUAGUGGCUUACCAAGGCUUUGACGGGUAGCCGGCCUGAGAGGGUUACCGGCCACAUUGGGCCUGCGAUACGGCCCAGACUCCUACGGGAGGCAGCAGUGGGGAAUAUUGCACAAUGGGCGGAAGCCUGAUGCAGCAACGCCGCGUGCGGGAUGACGGCCUUCGGGUUGUAAACCGCUUUCGCCUGUGACGAAGCGUGAGUGACGGUAAUGGGUAAAGAAGCACCGGCUAACUACGUG
rnacentral:rRNA from 1 species